rnacentral:pre_miRNA from 1 species
AGCACGAUUGCUGGGUCAUAUGGUAAGAAUGUUUAGUUUUAUAAGAAACUGUCAAACUGCCUUACAAAGUGCCUGUACCAUUUUGCAUCCCCACCAGCAAU